rfam:Oryza glumipatula chromosome 6, whole genome shotgun sequence.
AAAAAGGCAAACACUGAAUUUCCUUGCCAACGUUUGACUGUUCGUCUUAUAUAAAUUUUUUUUAUAAUUAGUAUUUUUAUUAUUGUUAGAUGAUAAAACAUGAUUAAUACUUUAUGCGCGACUUAUUUUUUUAAUUUUUUUAUAAUUUUUUUAAAUAAGACGGACGAUCAAACAUUGGACACGGAAACCAGGGUUUGUCUUUUU